rnacentral:lncRNA from 1 species
GCUGGUGUAUGUGAAUGUUUUUGUGUUUGAGUGUAAGAGAUCAACCAUCUAUAACUAUUUGGCCCUCAAAGCGUGCACAAUUACUGCGGCACAACUGCCACUUGCUUCAGAUCCAAGCAUUCCAAUAAAUCAGCAGGGAUCGAACCUCAUAUGUGUAUUUAUUUUAUUUUUAUCACAUGCUGUUAAUAUGCAAUGUUUAUAUCGGGUUCUUUGUACAGCAUUAUUAUUAACUAUGCUUACAUAAUGCUUUCAAAAAUGAUCAAGAGCUUCUAUAUCUACAGUUAGUUAUUUUAAAACAGUCUGCUUGAAUAUUCAUUGAUCAGUCCUUUUUCAAAUGCAAGAAUAUUAGAUAAUAGUGCAUUGUAAAUCAAGACAUGGGAGUAUCAUCUUACUGGAGGCAAAUAUAUUUUGUACCAUUCAUGGUUUUUGAGACUUGUACUCCGAGUCUGCUUCAGAAAAUAAAUAGUAAAACUCAUUAAGCCUGUAGAGGGAGACAUAACACUGUUUAAAUGACCUACUGCGGAAUCAUGCAGAUGUUUUGAAAUUAUUCAUUAAGAAAUGUAAUACGCCACCAACAUGGAAACUUCUAAGAGGUGAACAAACCGCCAUUAUAAUGUACAACAUGUACUGACUGGGUUCUCUACCCCAAAAAAGAUGAUUUUCCUCUACCUUUGCCUCUGCUGUCCGUCCUCGCACAUUCAGAGCAGCACCACUCAGGUAAGAGCUGAAACCAGCAGGAGAGGAGGAAUGGAUCAAGGGAAUAUCAGAGUAAAUCUUGGUUGAACAGCGUAAUAAUAAAUGCUUUCUGUUUCAGAGCUUAACCAUGAAAUUCGUGGCUCUUGCACUGACAAUCUUCUUGGCUGUGGGUAAGUAACGUUAUGAUUUUUCUUUAGUAUUUUAAAUUUACUUCAUGCUUAACUAAUUAAAAAUAUAAUGUCAGCUGAAUAAAUGAUUUUGUUAAUGCCUUGUUUUUUAAAUGUGGACUAUUUGACCACCUGUUUCUUGAAAUAGUUUAAAGUCUUCGCUGUCUUCCUUUUGGUGUCUGAAUCUUUUCCUGUGUCUUCUCAGGUUCCAGGCCAAUUUCCUGCAGGCUGAUGCUCCUUCUCAGCUGGACGCACUUUAGUCAGCAGCCUUGGUGUACCUGACCCAGGUCAAGGAGCAGACUCAGAAGGCCCUCGA